rnacentral:rRNA from 1 species
CGCGGCCUAUCAGCUUGUUGGUGAGGUAACGGCUCACCAAGGCAUCGACGGGUAGCUGGUCUGAGAGGACGAUCAGCCACACUGGGACUGAGACACGGCCCAGACUCCUACGGGAGGCAGCAGUAGGGAAUCUUGCGCAAUGGGGGCAACCCUGACGCAGCAACGCCGCGUGUGGGAUGACGGCUUUCGGGUUGUAAACCACUUUCAGUGAUGACGAAAAUGACGGUAAUCACAGAAGAAGGUCCGGCCAACUACGUGCCAGCAGCCGCGGUAACACGUAGGGACCGAGCGUUGUCCGGAUUUAUUGGGCGUAAAGAGCUCGUAGGCGGUUCAGUAAGUCGGGUGUGCAAACUCAAGGCUCAACCUUGAGACGCCACUCGAUACUGCUGUGACUUGAGUCCGGUAGAGGAGUGUGGAAUUCCUGGUGUAGCGGUGAAAUGCGCAGAUAUCAGGAGGAACACCAGCGGCGAAGGCGGCACUCUGGGCCGGUACUGACGCUGAGGAGCGAAAGCAUGGGGAGCAAACAGGAUUAGAUACCCUGGUAGUCCAUGCCGUAAACGUUGGGCACUAGGUAUGGGAUCAUAUCAACGGAUUCCGUGCCGUAGCUAACGCAUUAAGUGCCCCGCCUGGGGAGUACGG